rnacentral:rRNA from 1 species
GCUAUUAUUUACUUGAUUUAGAUUCCAUACGUGGAUAACUGUGGCAAUUCUAGAGCUAAUACAUGCACCAAAGCUCCGACUCGUUGACGAGCGCAUCUAUUAGAAUAAAACCAAUCGAGACAGUGUCUCGUCCAUUUGGUGACUCUGAAUAGCUUAGCUGAUCGCAUGGUCACGCACCGGCGACGUAUCUAUCAAGUAUCUGCCUUAUCAACUUUCGAUGGUAGUUUAUAUGACUACCAUGGUUGUAACGGGUAACGGAGAAUAAGGGUUCGACUCCGGAGAGGGAGCCUGAGAAACGGCUACCACUUCCAAGGAAGGCAGCAGGCGCGCAAAUUACCCACUCUCAGCUCAGAGGAGGUAGUGACGAAAAAUAACGAGACCGUACUCGAUGAGGCCGGUUAUCGGAAUGGGUACAAUUUAAACCCGUUAACGAGGAUCUAUGAGAGGGCAAGUCUGGUGCCAGCAGCCGCGGUAAUUCCAGCUCUCAAAGUGUAUAUCGGCAUUGCUGCGGUUAAAAAGCUCGUAGUUGGAUUUCAGCCUUACGACGUGGUCCAUUCAUUGAAUGCGAACUACGCCUCGUAGGCUAUAUUGAUGUUGGUUUUUCCUUACGUUGCUCUAAUCGGCUGCGUAAGGUGGCUAACGAGUUUACCUUGAAAAAAUUAGAGUGCUCAACGCGGGCUAACGCCUGAAUACUCGUGCAUGGAAUAAUGGAAUAGGAUCUCGGUUCUAUUUUGUUGGUUUUCUGAUCUGAGAUAAUGGUUAAGAGGGACAGACGGGGGCAUUCGUAUCGCUGCGUGAGAGGUGAAA